rfam:Schistosoma rodhaini strain Burundi genome assembly, scaffold: SROB_scaffold0004170
AGCUUUUCGAAUCCAUGCGGAGAUUUUGUCAGACACCAAUCUAUUAGGACGGAUCAGACUUCCAAGAUAAGUGAAGUU